UACAGAGGGGGCUAGCGUUGCUCGGAAUUACUGGGCGUAAAGGGCUCGUAGGCGGCCAACUAAGUCGGACGUGAAAUCCCUCAGCUUAACUGGGGAACUGCGUCUGAUACUGGAUGGCUUGGAUUCGGGAGAGGGAUGCGGAAUUCCAGGUGUAGCGGUGAAAUGCGUAGAUAUCUGGAGGAACACCGGUGGCGAAGGCGGCAUCCUGGACCGAUAUUGACGCUGAGGAGCGAAAGCCAGGGGAGCAAACGGG
rnacentral:rRNA from 1 species